AAUAGUACGUGAAACCGAUUAGGCGGAAGCGUAUAGAGUUGUCGAAAGAUGAUAAUAAUAAGUAGUCUUGAAGUGUAACAGAGUUAAGAUAGUUUUCGUAAGAAUCUAUGCUUGGCUUGUAGUUUACUUAAAGGCUAUGCACUUGUUAUCAUUGUGCCAAUAGCAUUGAUGAUAAUAAUGGAAAUUAAAUUAGAGGGCUUAACUUCGGUUGAGUAUCCUGAUUUAAUGAAAAUUAUUUAUUGUUAAUGUUUUCAUUAGCAUAACAGAAGGUGUAUAAGUGAUGAUUCAUAAAAGUUAACGCAUGCGUUAGCUUUUUUAAGUUGUUACUUUAUAUGCUGGAUAAUAUGUUAGUUAUUAUUGGUAUAAAAGACAAUCACCUAUAUGUCCCGUCUUGAAACACGGACCAAGGAGUUUAUCGUAUGUGCGAGUCAUUGAGUGAAUAAAACUCAUUGGCGUUAUGAAAAGUAAAGUUAUCUUUAUGAUAAUGAUAUGUGAUAAGUUAUUUUCGGAUAGCUUAGCAGCAUAGUCCAAUCUAUUAUGUUUACAUAAGGGUUGAGAUAGAGCAUAUGCGAUGAGACCCGAAAGAUGGUGAACUAUGCCUGAACAGGAU
rnacentral:rRNA from 1 species